GAAUUCGAUUCGGUGUGACAAGGCCCGGGAACGUAUUCACCGCAGCGUUCUGAUCUGCGAUUACUAGCGAUUCCAGCUUCAUGGAGUCGAGUUGCAGACUCCAAUCCGAACUGAGACGAGCUUUUUGCGAUUGGCUCCCCCUUGCAGGUUUGCAGCGCUUUGUACUCGCCAUUGUAGCACGUGUGUAGCCCUGGACAUAAAGGCCAUGAGGACUUGACGUCAUCCCCACCUUCCUCCGUUUUGUCAACGGCAGUCUCAAUAGAGUGCCCGGCCGAACCGCUAGCAACUAUUGAUAAGGGUUGCGCUCGUUGCGGGACUUAACCCAACAUCUCACGACACGAGCUGACGACAGCCAUGCAGCACCUUGCACUCUGCCUGGUUUUACCCAGGAAUCCGUAUCUCUACGGCUGUCAGAGGCAUUCUAGCCCAGGUAAGGUUCUUCGCGUUAAUCACUA
rnacentral:rRNA from 1 species